rnacentral:rRNA from 1 species
GACGAACGCUGGCGGCGUGCUUAACACAUGCAAGUCGAACGGAAAGGCCCUGCUUUUGUGGGGUGCUCGAGUGGCGAACGGGUGAGUAACACGUGAGUAACCUGCCCUUGACUUUGGGAUAACUUCAGGAAACUGGGGCUAAUACCGGAUAGGAGCUCCUGCUGCAUGGUGGGGGUUGGAAAGUUUCGGCGGUUGGGGAUGGACUCGCGGCUUAUCAGCUUGUUGGUGGGGUAGUGGCUUACCAAGGCUUUGACGGGUAGCCGGCCUGAGAGGGUGACCGGCCACAUGGGGACUGAGAUACGGCCCAGACUCCUACGGGACGCAGCAGUGGGGAAUAUUGCACAAUGGGCGGAAGCCUGAUGCAGCAACGCCGCGUGCGGGAUGACGGCCUUCGGGUUGUAAACCGCUUUCGCCUGUGACGAAGCGUGAGUGACGGUAAUGGGUAAAGAAGCACCGGCUAACUACGUG